GCCCUCUUAGCUCAACGGCAGAGCAUCCGACUGUCGAUCGGAAGGCCGCGGGGUCAGCACCCGCAGGGGUGA
rnacentral:tRNA from 1 species